rnacentral:lncRNA from 1 species
CUUCCUCUUCCGCGUGGGGUCAAAUCCUGGCUCUAUCAGCUGUAAACAAGUUCUUUAACUUCUUUGAGCUCCACCAAAUUUCUUCUCUGUAAAGUAGGAAUGGUAAUAGCUACCUUGCUGAGUGGCUGUAAGGAUUGAAUGACAUCACUCCUGGCCUUGAACAAGCACUCACCAGAACAGGUCACUGGUUAUUGGCGUUGGUAUUGUUGAUAACAUUUGGCUCUAUGCUCAUUUCCAGCCGGCUGUCAACAUUCUGCUUUAUAACAGAUUCUUGUGUAGACCCAUCAGGAAACAGAAAUCCUUGUCUACCUAUGAACAGUUGUGCUGUUGCUUUCUGAGAUUUCUUAAAUGCCAUCCACCUUUAAGAGGUGGUGUUGAAGGAGCGGAAGAUGCCUGGUUCCUUUCGUCUGUUGUGUGUCUGGGAGGCCUUGUUGACGUGGGAGUGCAAAGACUGACUUCCUUGGCAGGUGAUCUGGACCCUGUGAGGCUCAGUGGAAACCAGGCGUCGUGUGAUUGACACAGUGAAUAUUGAGACAGCCGAGUUUCUCAAACGCCGACACUCUCCUGAAUUUCCUCUCCACAAAUAUGUUUACUUUGCAAAGCCAAAGGGAUUUGCAUGAAACUUUUUUUUCUGCUUAUGGAAACAACAGAACAAAAUUCCUUACAUUCUCUCUGUUUUCUACUUUGACCUUCAGGAUCUUACCUUUCAGUCUUUUGUUCCACAUUCACACAAAUGCACACCUUUUAAAUAUGGCCAAUCGCUGUUAGAACUGGAAGAGGUCUUAUAAAAGGCAUCUUGAACAACGUCCCACCAGGGAAGAGAUUUUUUUUAAUCAUGUGUCAUAGAAGCCAACAUUUUAAAGCGUUGUAAAUGGAAAUAUAUUGUAAAAUUUCUUUAAAAUACAGAGCACAUCUUAUAGAGACUGGCAUCUGAAAAUUGCCUGAGUUAAGUUACAUAAAAUGCCUGAGGUGGUGUAAGGUAAAGGUUGAGUCCCCAAGUAAAAAUGACAGGAAAUAUCAGCAGUGGAAGGAUUGCAGGGGUGGAAAGGAUGCCUGCCCUACCAGAUGCUACCGUUGCCGGGGAAAUGUCACUGUUAGAGAAUAGAAAACUAUUAUUCCAAAGAGUAUUGAAGACUGACUGAAUCAGGUCUGGAACAUUAUUGAAAUGCGAGGAGAAGGGAGGAUGCUCUGCGCUCCUCCGGGAGCCCUGCAGCUGAGGUUUCUCUCCCCUGAGAUCCACGGUAAUGGAAGCAGCUGAAGCUGGAGGUCAUUAACAUUUUGAGAACACCGCAAACUGACACUGUGUAAUGUUAUGACAUUUCUUCCCAAGACAUUUAAUCUCCUUUAAUCAGUGUUUAUGUUGAAGAUACUUCAUAGUUAUUUGCUUUCACAUAAAAAUGGAACACUUUGGCAUGUCAUUAACAUAAGAGUAAUUUACUUAUUACUCAUUGCAAUUAUUUCUAGAGCUCUCUCUCUCUCCUGUCCUCUCCUCCAUUCCUCUCUCCUUCUCUCCCUCCCUCCUUCCCUUCUCCUUUUCUCCCUUUUCCGUGUCUUCAUUGUUUCUGGCUUUUGUUUUCAAUUGUACUAUUUUUGAAAGUGCUUCCAGUUUUUCCUUCUGCAGAUAAUCUUCCUGGCAAGUUGGUAGUCUUGGGGUUUUCGUGCCCUCUUCUUAGUAAACUUCAGAGCCUGGAAGAAAACUAACCUCACCUCUCUGAGAAAUGCUCAUGGUCCCCAUUGUCCUUGGUCAGGAACGGCUUAUUCUCUGCUGAAUGGUGCUCCAUGGAUGACUUAGCUGAACAUCAUUUUCUUCUGCCUUGCUUUCCUCCUCUCACUUGCUUCGGAUAUUGUUCUGAGCUUCUAGCAUCUGUCUUCUUGCCUCCAUUUCUCUUUCCUUCUUGUGUGGGGGUUACUUUAUCUUCCUUUAAAGCUACUUCAGCUUUUCUUCCACCCUCAAAACUUUUCACUAAAUGCAAAACUGAUGAUUGUUGACUUUUUUUAUAUCAGAGAGGGAAUAUAUUCCUUAGCAUAAACAAGUGGUUGCACAUUUCAAUCCAUGAAUUAGGCAUAAUUUUCCUUAUUUUUAAAUAAAUGAACAAUUUCUAUUAUAAAUCUCUUAUUAUGCCAAGUAGGCAAAACCUAAUUUCAGUUUAGGGAAGUGUUUCUCAACCUUGAGAUCACUGAUAUUUUGGGCUGGGCCAUUCUGUGUUUUGGGAGCUGUUCUGCGCACUGCAGGGCGUUCAGCAGCAUCCUUGACCUCUGCCUACCAGAUGCCAGUAGCACCACCAAAACUUGUCUCUAGACAUUGCCAAAUAUCUGCUGGGGGGCAAAAUAGCCCCACACUGAGAACGACUGUUCCUUUCUGUGGAGUUAUGUCUAAGUUCUAGGGCAAGAUUUAAGGAGGAUGGAGAAGUCCUUUCCUUGAAAUCAUUCUUCAUUCGCAUAGACUUAUCUGAGGUGUCCCUAUUCCCAUUGUGACUUUGGGCCCCUGGUGCAUCCACCAUGAUCUGACGAAGGGCUCUCACAGCGGCUGUCUCACUCUGCUGUCAGGCACAAGGGCUGUUCCUGCGUUAUUGCAGGAUGCUCUGUGAGGUGGCCUCAGGUCUGUCCCGGUGCCAUGCUAGGGAGCCAGGCUGAUGGACCAGGAAUGCAAGCAUCCUGCUGACUCCAGACUCUCCCCUGGGGCUAGGGGCCCUGUUCCGUCUGAUCUUGGAUUCUCAGUUCCCAUGGGGAGGACUUCCUACAGGACACAGAGUUCAGGGCCCACUGUCAUCUAAGGUCUGCUCAUGCUGUGGCAGCUCUCGUUCCCCGCAGUCCUGACCAUCUUUAUGUAGUUUGAGGACAGCUCACCUGGCUCUUUAUCUGGUUUUCCAAAUAUAAUAUUUUAUGGCCUAGAAGUUAUGUGCUUCAUAGUUAUACUUUUAACACCAAAAAGAUUUUCUCCGCUUCUCUGCUAUAUUAUCCCUUCCUGGAGGCAAUAAAUUCUGCUGAGGGAAUGGGUAGAAAAGAGGAUACAAGAAAAUAAGAGAAAAAAGUUUUGGUCAAAAUUUCAAUUUAUAUAAAGAAAAAGCAUCGCUUGCUUAUUCCAAUGCUACAGUUCUGUAGGAAUAGAAAUAUUUGGAAAUCUAGAUGAAGAGCCAUCUUAUCCUCAGCCUACAGAAGGAUGGUUAAGACUGUGGGGAGCCAGGAGAUUCACAGGGAAGCGAAGAGCUUAGAUGACGGCGGGCUCCUGAGCUGGGGGGCCUGUGCCAGGACUCCCACGGUGGAAUUGGCAGUCCAAGAUGACAUAGUGUAAUUUCACCUGCAUACUACGGUUUUGCUUUCUUUUAAUGAGCCAAGAGUUCCUUAGUAAUCCUCUGCGUUUCUGGUCAUCUGGUGGUCAUCGGUUUUUGCAAGACCUUUGGUCCUCUUUUCCAAUUUCUUAAUAUAUAUUUGGUUUAUAUUCAUCUACUUUAAAGCAUUAGUGCAAACCAUGCAUUAUUUUUUGUAGUUUUAAUUUACAUGCAUUGUCUUGUGUUUCUUAUUUUUUUCACUCAACACUCUGCAUUUAGCAUCUGGUGGGUCUAAAGAGAUAUCUCUUUUUUGUUUUAAUUUGCAUUCCUAUGAUUACUAAUGAUAUUGGGCAUGAAUCAUAUAUUUUGUUAAAACUUUGGGUUUCUUUGACUAUGAAGUGACUCAAAUAUCCUCUACUCAUUUUUAAAAUUUGGGAUUUCUAUGCUUAUGCAUGAGUUCCUGGUAUAGUCUAGAUAAUAAUUUCUUUGUGAUUUUAGACACGAUAAAUAUCAUGUCUCUGCAACAUCUUUGUGCUAACUUUGUUCACAGAAAUUCUUAAUUUGAUGCAAUUAAAUCCAUUAAUGAUGCUUUUGGAAUUUUGUUUCAGAAGUUCUUCCCUAACCCUGGGGGACAUUGUCUUCUGCCUUUAUGAUUUCCUUUGGUUUCUUUGUUUUUUUUAAAAAAAAAAAAGAUUUUUUAAUUU